GACGAACGCUGGCGGCGUGCCUAAUACAUGCAAGUAGAACGCUGAAGGAGGAGCUUGCUUCUCUGGAUGAGUUGCGAACGGGUGAGUAACGCGUAGGUAACCUGCCUGGUAGCGGGGGAUAACUAUUGGAAACGAUAGCUAAUACCGCAUAAGAGUAGAUGUUGCAUGACAUUUGCUUAAAAGGUGCAAUUGCAUCACUACCAGAUGGACCUGCGUUGUAUUAGCUAGUUGGUGGGGUAACGGCUCACCAAGGCGACGAUACAUAGCCGACCUGAGAGGGUGAUCGGCCACACUGGGACUGAGACACGGCCCAGACUCCUACGGGAGGCAGCAGUAGGGAAUCUUCGGCAAUAGACGGAAGUCUGACCGAGCAACGCCGCGUGAGUGAAGAAGGUUUUCGGAUCGUAAAGCUCUGUUGUAAGAGAAGAACGAGUGUGAGAGUGGAAAGUUCACACUGUGACGGUAUCUUACCAGAGAGGGACGGCUAACUACGUG
rnacentral:rRNA from 1 species